rnacentral:rRNA from 1 species
CCUACGGGAGACAGCAGUGGGGAAUAUUGCACAAUGGGGGAAACCCUGAUGCAGCGACGCCGCGUGAGUGAAGAAGUGAUUCGUUACGUAAAGCUCUAUCAGCAGGGAAGAAACACUGACCUUACGGUCAGCAGACGGUACCUGAGUAAGAAGCCCCGGCUAACUACGUGCCAGCAGCCGCGGUAAUACGUAGGGGGCAAGCGUUAUCCAGAUUUACUGGGUGUAAAGGGAGCGUAGACGGUGCGCCAAGUCUGGAGUGAGAAGCCGCAGCUUAACUGCGGAACUGCUUUGGAAACUGGCGAACGAGAGUGCGGGUGGGGUAAGCGGAAUUCCUAGUGUAGCGGUGAAAUGCGUAGAUAUUAGGAGGAACACCGGUGGCGAAGGCGGCUUACUGGACCGUAACUGACGUUGAGGCUCGAAAGCGUGGGGAGCAAACAGGAUUAGAUACCCGAGUAGUC